GGAAAGAAACAUCAUUAAACACCAUUAAGUUGCAGUGAGCCGAGAUCGUACCACUGUACUCCAUCCUGGGGACAGAACGAGACUCCGUCUCAAAAAGAAAAAAAAAAAAGAAUAUUAUCUUUUGUUGAGGGGACAGGAGGAGAGAAGGUGCCUUGUGGGGCUGGUGUCGCCUUUAGCAGUGGACUGUUGGCUGUCCUGGGGAGAUGGGGAAUUCAGCACAGUGCAGGCAGCAGCAAGGGAAGGAGCUGGAGCUGGAC
rnacentral:sRNA from 1 species